rnacentral:lncRNA from 1 species
GACCCCUUAAGGACACAUGACAUGUCAUGAUUCCCUUUUAUUCCAGAAAUCUGGUCCUUAAGGGGUUAAACAAUUAAUCUGUCAGUAUUUCAGAACUGCUUGCAAAACAUAAUUGAAAGGAAGUCACAAGCUAUGACAGUUUCUAUGUAUCAGGAAAUGCCUAACCACAAUGUAUAUGUGAUAUUUUGUAAGAUUAGAUUAUUGAAUGUAACAGCAGAAACUACUUCCUCUUUUAUGUAUCUUUUGUAACCUUUUUGUAACCUUUUUGUAACCUUUUGUAACCAAUAUUCGUGACAAGUAUAGUAUAAAUAUAGCGAAUCUUGAAUAAACGAUCAGAAGAUUAUGGAAAGCAAAAAGUGUGUGUCUGGUUAAUACGCUUCCAUAAAAAUCUUCCCUGAAUAUUCAGCUGACAAUCGAGGGUUGGAGAAUAGUGACCAGAGGGACCGAGUCACUAGAGUAGCAGAUUUACCUUUCAGCUUGGUGUCAGAAAGUGGGAUUGUAGCCAAAACCAUUUUGGGUGAGUAGUAAUUCCUUGUGUCUAUCUUGACGCCCUGAAUCUAUGAUCCCCAUGGUUUUGUAAGUCUACAUCAUUUUAGGAAAGGUUAUUUUGUACAUGUGUUUUAUGUGACUCAGUUUUACAUAAGGUCCCGUUAAAUUAGUCUAGUAAGGGAACUAGACAGAGAGAUAUAUGUAUUUCUAGUAAGUGAACUAGAGAAGGUCUAAUAAGAGAAUUAGACAGAUAAAAGGAAGUCUAUAAAGUGAUAUAGACAGAGAAUUUAGUAUAUAAGUGAAUAUACUACGAUAGUGUGCACAGAGUUUCAGGUUCACCUUGUCCACCCUCUAAUUGUCAUUAGUUAAGUCUGGUUGUGAGUGUGAAUAAGUGUUUGAAAGAUUUGUCCUAGGAAUGGGAAAUUACCAUGUAAGAAUAUGAAGUAGUUAACUUUUCUUGUUCAUAUGUAUUUUAUGCUUAAAUAAGGUUUAUAAUCAGUAGUGCUGACUGUAAGGAUAUGAAAUAGUUAAACUCUUUUUGCUUUAUAUGCUAACCCUGAAAAUAUACUCACUGAGAAUCUUGUUAAAGCACAUUUGUAGUGUCCAUGUCUUUAUUGCAAACAAUGAUUCUCCAUCAAUUGGGUGAUUGUCUAUAUUGGGGACACACUUUGGUAAGUUAGUAGUGUGUCCACCCUGAGUCAGCAGUAUGGGAAAUGUAAGUUCAGGUCCUGAGUGACCAAUAUAUCUACAUAUAUAUAUGAUACCAGUACUGUAUAUUAGAAAAGAACUGGCUCGCAGGUUUUGCCUGAUAGACCUACUUAAAUCUUUUGCUUUAUUCUUUCUGUUGCAUAGAAGUAUAGUGUAUUACUCUGUUUUAUUGCAAGUUAUUUCACAUGGGAUCUGUGUGCCUGGUAUGAUUGUUGCUUUAAUACCAUAAGCCCACUACACUUUCUAUGAGAGUGGGAUAGUGUAAGUGUGUUGCAUUGUUUGCAUGAUGAGCUCAGUAUUUUUAUAACUGAGACAAAAUGUCACAUCAUUAGUAUUUGAAAGUUAAUUCCCCAUAUGGGAUUAAUUGUAUAGAAUACCAAUCAGCACAUCUUCCAUGCCCUGUGUGUUUGUUGCAAAGGAUCCAUACUUUAAAUAUGAUUUUUGUUUGUUAAUAAGAGCAACAUUUACAUUUUCAGCGGUCCAACACAUGCUUCAUUUUGCGCUGUAAACUAACCUUUUUAUUGCAACAGAUUCCUUUUAAAUGAUCCAGUGUAAUAAUUACUGCAUAUGUUUUGUGUCUUCUAUGUCUCACAUUAUAUGUGUUCUGUUCUUUUAAAUUGUGGUAUAUAGCCUGGAUCAGAGAUUAUGGACAAAGGUUUCUACCUGUUUUACUAAGGCUCUUGGAGACUGACCGGUCUAAGGUUUGCCAUGCCUUUUAAACAUGGUAUAGAAUAAUUUUUUUUUUAAGUCUCUGAGAGUUCUGUAAGAUUCUGGUGAAACCAUGUCUGUGUAAUCUGGUCCAAAUGUUUGCUCAAUUUCUAUAAGAUUUAAGUUGAUGCAGUAUCAUCUCAGAUUAGUUAAUGGAAGUUUCAUACAAAUAUUUGAGUUAUGAGCGCGCUAUAUAAAUGUAUCCUUUCUCUGUAUACAAUACUAUAGUAGAUUAAAGUAAUGAAGUUAAUAAGAAUAAAAAAAAAUAAAAAAAAAUAAAAAAAUAAUAAAAUAAAGUAUACAUAAGAAUCCCUAAAAUAAAUCUAAUAUAAACUAAAAAUGGUAUACCUUAUAAUAUGUUCUGAGUACAGCUGUUAACUGUUUAUUCUGUGUAAAUGGUGACUGUGAUAAUGUGUGAAGUGUGCAGCUUACCUGGAAAGUGGUUUAAUUUAUAUGUUGCUGUGUUGUUUUAAAUUAUAUUUGAAUCAGUUUGUCUCAGUCUAGUGAUACUGAUAAAAAUGCCAGUCAAAUAACCCAGCAAAUAACGGUUUUGUUAGCUGUUGAAUACUAGCAUUCUGGCCAAGAGUAGUUGGAGUUGGAGUAGUUCUAUGAGCUCAGAGAGGCUCUGUGUUGUGGUCUGAUAUAGCUAUAUGGGAAUGGAGAUUUGGAGGUAUUAGUUUAAGACUGCUUUCAUAUUGUGUCUACCUGUGUUUCCUAGGAGGGACACAGAGUGUGUAGUUGUGUGCUCAUGAAUGUGUUUUCUGUAUUGGCAUAUCUGCUGGGUACCCGAUACGUGUAUCUACUACGUCUGUUUUGUGAGAUGUCUGUUUUGUGAGAUGACAUGUAAUAUUACAUUGAAUGCUGAGUAUGAGUUAUAUGGUUUGAAAUGAAUUGGUGUGUUAUGUGUUUUAUGUAUUUUAUUGUCCAUUGUGUAGGAGUUUAACUAGCAGAGUGAUUUGCAUAUCAUUAACGCAAGCAUUUAGUGUUUUUACAAAAGGUGAAAUGCUGUCCAGCCGGCUAGAAUGAAACAAUUGUAUGCUAUCGCUCAUGGAGCACGAAAAGCGCUUGUUACAUCCCACGUGAAAGGGGCCCUGCAAACUUCUGCUGUUCAAAUCGUGGGUCCACGUUUCCAUUUGCAAACUGAUUAAUCCUGAAAGUCAUUCUUUUACUGAUAAAAAGGAUUGAAUGGACAAGAUGUCUCUCCCUCAUAAAGGAGUUCUAAUAGGGGAGUAUUGUCCAGCUCAGAGUUAACUCUACUUUUAAAGUAUAUUGCAUUGUUUGUGUCAAAGUAAGAUUCAUCUAGUAUGCCUCAUUGAUUAUGGGGUAAUAAUAACAUGGUAUUUUUAUUGGAGAUUAGACAAUUUCUGAAAUUUAUAAGUGAGGUAAUUUUAAUCUCCUAAACUACUGUAUUAUAUUUGUAUGGGUAAAUUGAAAGCAUUUUGCAGAUCCAGAGGAGCAUUAAUAAAUAAUAUAAUAAUCUCACUAGGUGCCAAUUUAUGCAAAGAGGCUAUCCAAAGUACGCACUAACGGGUUAAACUUGUUUUCUUGAUAAGUGUAUAACAUUUAGUUUUAUGGUUAGACUUUUGAUACUCAAUUUAAAAUAUGUCCCAACUACAUCCUUGCACGGCACCAGGUACAGGAAGCAAUUUGCGUUUUAAAAAUGUGCAAGGUCUUAGUGUUUUCAAUAUAUUAUAACAAUGGAAAAGUACCUAACCGCAUGUCUGCAUUAUGCUCAUGACACAGACUGUCAGUAUUGCAAGCCCUAUAUGAAGGCUAUGCUUUCAUUGUUGAUGUAUAUACCCCUAGACAACCUUGCUUUAUAUACAAAAUUUAACUAUCCAUACAGCCUUUAAAAGCUUAUUAAUAUUAUAUCUGUGUGGUACACAAAGAGGGGGCUGUGAGUUAGGUAAUCCCAUCCUGCAUAUGGAAUAAAGGCAGAGGUAGAGGAUUUGGUCAAAGGGUCUAACUUUUGUAACAACUUCAGCAUUGGUGGAACACACUGUUCUAAUUGUGGAUAGCAGGGUCACUGGAAAAAUGAGUGCCCAAACCCACCCCCACAGAUUCCUCAAUACCAACCAUAGCUUCCAACCUAUACCCACACCCAACAACCACAGCAUAAUACACAGAUGGUUCAUGUUUGUAAUAUUUUAUAUAGGUUUAGGUGUUAAUCCAAGAGUAUUGAAUUAUUCGGGAUUAUUAAAGUAAUUAAUUUUGAAUAUCAAAUCAAGGUUCCAGUUUAGGAACAGAGUUUUAUUGGGAAUUAUCCCCAUAUGUAUAUGUUAGUGUUUUAAUAUUCAUCCUAACAAGGAUUUCUAUAGAGUGAGUGUUACUCUCAUCCGUGCAAAGGCAUUCCAAAGGGAUAUUAUGUAAAACUUUAUAGAAGACAGAUUGCAUAAAAUAUAAGAGAAGUACAUGUUACACAAAUUAAGGGUUUAACCUUAAUCUCUAAUUUAAGUUUUAGCCUAGGUAAUUAAUUUAUGUUGUAUUGAUCCUUGUGUUUGUAUGAUUGUAGAGACCGUCCUGGAGUGUUUGUGCCGCCUGAUUUCUGGGACUACACACCAAUCUCUCUGGCUGACCAUGCAAUAAGUAUUUUGCAAUUACGUCUGUUUGGUCAUUAUCCAUGCAGGCCGAAGAAACUGAGAUACUUAUUUAUGAGGACAUAAACUUUGCACGCAAGAACCUGGAAAGUCCUGAAGGUGCAGUGCUGUCUAAUGCCGCUGGUUCUGUAAUAACCCUUUCAACCAUUGGGGUGUUGCACAGAGCUUUGUGGUGAAAAUCCAGCAAACAAAAGAAGAACUAAGAACUAUAUGGAAGCUGACAUUGUCUUGUUGUCAGCCAUAUUGCUACCCUUAGCCAUUUUUAUGGAACAAAAUGUCUGGUGUCUAAACUGAUUUCUUUAUACUCUGUGAAAGACUUAUUCUAUUUUUCUGAACUAUGCUGAACUAUUGAACUAUUUUUAUUUUUAUUUUUGUAGAGUUAGCCAGAGAGAGAGGAAGUGUUAGCUGACCCAGGGAUGGAUGUACUAUGUGUGUUUUUGAUAUAUGUUGAGUGUGCCAGGGAUGGAUUCCCAUGUUUUGAGGAACUGCGUGAGGAUAUGACUGGUUUUGACUGGACUUUUGGAAUAGGGAAAUGGUUAAAAGAUAUAGGACGCAAGGUCCUGGUUGUGCAAAAAUAUAGUUGCUAUAAGCCCAAGUUCCAUUCUGUCUUAAACAUCCAUUUUCUAUAUAUCUGUCUGCAAAAGUAUUAAGUGUUUUUGUUUUGUUUUUUUUCUGCUGAGUUUCUGUUUCUUGUAGACCACAUGAUUGCUUGGGAAUGCCAUAAUGUGGAAAUUUCUCUGUCUUGGGAGAAUGUUAACCGAUGAUAUGAGCAAUAUAUAUUGCUCAAAGAGGGGUAACAAUUGUGAUUAUUGGGGCUCAGUUGGAUGGAACACCGGGACAGAUUGGGGUUAUAAGCCACAGAAUGCAUUAGAUAAAAAGUAUACGAAUGGGAAGUCCCUCUUGACUAGAAUGACCCUAACAAAGCCAGGUACAUGUACCCCUAUAGGGCAAACUGGGCACUCCAUGAAAUUUACCUUAAAUAUUGAAAACCCCAGUCCUGGAGAUCAAGGUAUUUAUAUUCUCAGUACCUUUUUAAGAGGAGGUAUUGGAGGUGAUCGAGGAAAAAUCCAGUUAAAAGAUAUAUGGAACUCCUCAAAAUGGGAAAGCCUCACCUCUAGACAAACUCUUGUUAAUCCUCUAAAGCCCCACAUUAAGGUUGUAACUGAUUCCACAAGAAGGAAAAGGGAAUCCCCACAAGGUAGUUUCGACCCACAUAUCUAUCUAGAUGCCAUUGGUAUUCCAAGAGGGGUCCCUAAUGAAUUUAAAGCUAGAGACGAGGUGGCAGCAGGAUUUGAAUCAAUAUUUCCCAUUAUAACAGCUAACAAGAAUGUUAACUGGAUUAAUUAUAUAUAUUAUAAUCAGCAAAGAUUUGUAAAUUAUACACGAGAUGCAUUACAAGGUCUUGCUGAACAAUUACAGGCUACCUCACAAAUGACUUUCCAGAAUAGAAUGGCCCUUGAUAUGAUUUUAGCAGAAAAGGGAGGAGUCUGUAAAUUACUUGACUCCGGUGUUUGUUGUACCUAUAUUGCAGAGAACACUGGCCCUAAUGGUAAAGUAACCCUAGAUAUAAAGAAAUUAGAAGACCUGUCCAUAGAAAUGAAGAGGAAUUCAGGUAUUGAUCACCCAUGGGCAGAUAUGUUUAAGUUUGACAGUAUCCUAGACUGGCUAAAGAAUAUUGCAAUACUUAUUGUUAUGGUUCUGAUCCUUGCUCUACUUGUUUAUGCUAUUUUCAAGAUUAUUGUAUUCUGCAUUUACAAACAUACACGCAACACUGUUCCUGUAAAAUCCCCAGCUUGCUAUGAUGAGUAUCUCCAAAUGUAUACACAUAACCGAAGCAAUGGUGAACAUGCUGAUACAGAUCUAUAAGUUUGUGGUACUGGUCAGAUGCCUAGUCCUAUGCUAUGGGAAUAGUGGCCGAAGACAUAAUGAAAGACCUGCAGGAUUGGCUAGCAAUCCUGAAUAUACCAUGGCAGAUGGCUGGUUGUCUGACCAGGACUCCUUAAAUAGGGUAUGAGCAAGAUAUUGCUCAAAGAGGGGGAAAUGAAGGAAUAUUGACCCCUUAAGGACACAUGACAUGUCAUGAUUCCCUUUUAUUCCAGAAAUCUGGUCCUUAAGGGGUUAAACAAUUAAUCUGUCAGUAUUUCAGAACUGCUUGCAAAACAUAAUUGAAAGGAAGUCACAAGCUAUGACAGUUUCUAUGUAUCAGGAAAUGCCUAACCACAAUGUAUAUGUGAUAUUUUGUAAGAUUAGAUUAUUGAAUGUAACAGCAGAAACUACUUCCUCUUUUAUGUAUCUUGUGUAACCUUUUUGUAACCUUUUUGUAACCUUUUG